CAGUUUCUUAGUUGUGCUGCUCACCCCACAUUCUUUUAGGGUGCUGGGCAGGCCCCUGCCCCGUGCAUGGCAGCCAGCCAUUUAGGUUAGCAGGCUUCUUUUUUUUUUUUCUUUUUUAAGAUCUUAUUUAUUUAUUUGGCAGAGACAGAGAGAGGAAAGCAGGCUCUCCGCUGAGCAGAGAGCCCGAGGCGGGGCUCGAUUCCAGGACCCUGAGAUCAUGACCUGAGCCGAAGGCAGAGGCUUAACCCUCUGAGCCACCCAGAUGCCCUGGUUACCAGGCUUCUAACUGCUGGGUGGGUCUGAGUCCCUGUUGGUCAGGGGACACAGCCCGUGCACGUGCUGGGUGUGGCGGAGGAGGGUGAUGUGACCUGACGCCGUUGAGGGAGCAGGCCGCCUCCUUCAUGCGGCUGCCAGGGGUCAGCAGUUGGGCUCCCAGCAGCCCCUGGGGUCAGCAUCCUGCCAGCCCAGGCACCCUUCCUGGGUCUCGGUUUCCCUAUCUGGGGGUUGCAGGGCGGGGGCAGAGGUGUCAGGGCCCAGUGAUGGAGCCUUCUGGGGUGGAGAGGACCGUGACCUGUUAGGACCAAGUGUGGCCUCACCCCGCCUGGCCUCUCAGCAGGGCCUCCGUCUGCCGGUGGCGCCCUUGGCCAGUGCCCACGGCUGCGGGGUACCCGUGACUGCUCCCAGCCCUGUCGCAGUGGCCGCCCUGUGGCACCCUCCGCCCUUCCCCCCGUGGGUGAGAGGAGCGUCCGGAUGCUAAGUUGAUCUUCCAUCUGGAGACGAGGCUCUGCCCCGAGCUGAGCGUGGCCGGCUGGGGACUCCAGGAGGUGAGAGCGGCCGGCUUGUGCGGGAAGCCACAGAGCCACGCUCCUGGAGUUGUCUGCCCACAGGGCACCACACAGCCCUUGCUCCAACUUCUGCCACCUGGUGGGGGGUCCCCUGAGGUACGGCACCUGGCCACGUCUGGAGAGAUUUCUGGUUGUCUCAGUUGGGGUCCUGCUGACAAUAGUGGGAAGAGUGUGGCAGGACGGCUGCAAAUGCCCUGUAAUGCACAGGGCAGCCGACCCUGAAAGUCUGACGUCUCUCAGACAUCAGUGGUGCCACGGCUGAGACCUCUGCUCCAGACGUCACUGCUCCCAUGGGGUCAGGUCCUGAUCCUGCCCAACGCCCCCGCCCCUGCCACUGCCUGGGCUGCCCUUGUGCAGAUCUUGUCCUGCCUGUGGCUUGGGUGUAUUCGUGCCCCAACCACGACUUCAGGAGGCAAUUUUGGUGCUUUAUUUUUAUCUCUGCAGUUCCUCCCAGGCUAUAAGAAACUUCCCUCUUCCAUAUGAGGCCUCUGCCCUGCCCCCCAGCCUGUGGGAUGUGCAGCCUCUUCUCCCUGCGGGCCCCACACCCGCCACGGGGGAAACGGCAGGGGCAGGAGGGGUGUGGCAGAGGCUCCCCCUGGCAUUGUGUAGGGCUGGGGUGCCGGCCAGAGGAGACCCCAGCCGGGGCCAGAGCUAUUGGGGGUGUUCUUGGGCACUUGCUGAGGGCUUUGAUUCCUGGGCCUGGUGUGGAGGCAUCUCUGAACUCAACCCCCAUGCCUGUUCCUCUGCCGCUCCGUGCCAGCCAGUAUCUUCCGGGUGUUCCUGACUACACAGUGGGGCCGUGAAGGGGCCAGGCAGUGGAGGGUGCUGAGGCCGGGCGCUGGGCCCUGAGAGGGGCUGACUGUGGCCUACUUAAGGCGGAUCACCUGCAGGGGCCCUGGGCCAUGAACGGCCGCGCGCUCCCUGCCGUCCAAGCAGUAUGCAGGCUGGGGUGGGUGACAGCCUGAGUGGGACAGAGGCUGCAGAAGGAGGCCUGCUUGCCGGGCCUGGCGGUGGCCAGCUGAGCUCACAGAGAAAGGUUGCUGGAACCUGGGUGGGCAGGGGCGGGAGGGAACCAUCCUGUCUAGGGCUGAGUUGUGGGAAAAACCCCUGAAGGGCUCUUGAGCUAUGGCCUCUGGGAUAGGGCUGAGGAGUCCAGAGCUGGGUCUGGAGUUAGCCUCACGGUGGGGGCCGGCAGGUGACAACCCCUGCCACCUGGUGGGGCACCUAGAGGCCGGCCCAUGUACCUGUCGGAUGCUGUCCCCUGCUGACCUCAGCCUCACAGGGCCAUUUGGUGGAGGAAACCGAUCCAGGACGUUGGGUCACACGACAGCUGAGUUAAGGCAGGGACUAGAAUCCAGGCCCAGACUUGGAUGCUUUCAGGGGGUCGGGGGGCCGUCUGAACAGCGUCUGAAGGCUGGGGAUUCUCUGUAGGAUGUGGGAUGGCCUGUGUGUGUCUGCGUGUGCUGACAAACACUCCUGGUUGCACGGGGGUGGGAAGCACUGAACAUUCCCAGGUGACCCGUGGGGAGUGGGGGGCGUGGUGGGCAACAGCAGGGCUGGCAGGACUCCCUGAGGCCAAGGUGCAGGGAGACCUCAGGCCAGGCACAAGCUUGGGCCAACUCCUGGAGAACCUCCAAAACGUGGCUGACGCCAGGGUUGAGCUGGGUGACCAGGUGGCAUUAAUGGCAUCUUGUAGAGUGUAAAAUUGUGGAGCACACUUGUCCCAGGCAAUUCGGGAACGCAGGGUUCAGCUCCGACUGCACGUGGGAGGAGUGCCCUCUGUGCCCAACAUUGCCUGCCCUGAGUUGGCCUCACGCUGGUGUGGACAGUCUGGUCCAGGAGGAGACUGAUCCUGCCCAGCGUCCUCCUGCUGAGCAGAGCUGGGGUUUCCUGUCCCUCUCACGCCUGUUCUCCCAGAGGUGGGUCAGGUAAGCACAGGGUCCUCUGGGCUCAGACUGUUGUGGGGGGUGGUGCUGGGUGCUCCGGGCCCCUCCUGGCCACCAAGAGGAGCCCAUUCAUUUUGGUCCAAUCGUUUCAUUACUUUGUAUUUAUUUUAUUUUAUUAUUAUUUUUUUUUUAACGUGCUAGCCAGGUAAGAUUGUAGCUCCACGUGAAGUUCUGCAAAGCUUGGGGUCUGUCACGGGGGGGCUUCCGUGGCCGUCCUUUCUCAGACAACUGUUGGUUUUCCUGUUUUCUUCUGCAUGUUUGUUUAUUGAUGUAUCAAAAUCCAGCCCCAGACUUGCUGACAGAAUUUAAAAAGUCACAGUUUGGUCCAAUUUCUCAAAUGAUUCUCCCGGUGGCCCCUAUCUGGGCUGCCCCAGGCCGCACCCGCUGGGUCCGGUUUCUGGGUCGCCACGGUCCGCUCUUGCGCAGUCUUUUCCCUUCUUUCCAUGGAGGAUAGUUUCUUUUUAGGGGGAAAAAAAAGAAGAAAAACUAUAUUUAUUUAUUGCAAUAAAUAUUGCUACAUUUAUUUAUUCAUUAUUUAUUUGUUUGUUUAUUUAUAAAUAAACUAUAUCUGUUUGUUUAUUGCUGAGCCAGGGGCAGAAGGAAAGCAUCUCAAGGAGACCGAUCCCACGAUCCGGAGGAAGGACCCAAGCCGAAGCCGAGAGUCAGAUGCUCCACUGCCUGAGCCAUCCAGCGGCCCUCGGGGAAUACGUUUUCCCGAGGAGGGACGCCCCGGGUCGAGAGGGCCACACGAGGGCUGGCCACCACAAUUGUCUGUGUAUCCAGCAUGAGGACUGACAUGGGGCUUGAACUCACGAUCCUGGGAUCGUGACCUGAGCUGAAAUCAAGAGUCAGAGGCUUAACUGAAUGAACCACCCAGGUGCCCCAGGCAAGUUAUUUUUCAAAAAAAUAGUUAAGGUCGUGUAAACGCACACACGUAUGUUUAACUCUAUCAAGUAUCGGCUCUCUCUUCCUGUAAACCCCAGUGCUCCGAGUUACUCACAUUUCAUCCUGUCACUUACCUGUCAGCUCCCGCGGCACGUGCUCUCUGAAGGCACCGUCAUUACCUCCCCUUCCCAGGCACACGCUGCUUGGCAGUGUGACUUCGCUGCUGCUCCUGUUGAACGCUGGGGUCGACCUCCCCUCCGCUUGAAGGCUGGGUCUGCUCUGACCCACUGAGUGUAGUGGAAGGCUGCCAAGCCUCGGUGUGAGGGGCCUGGCAGCUUCCACCAGUGGAAGGGAGCUUGGGCUAGACUCCUGAAUACCAGCAGGUUGUGCAGAGGGAAGAGGCCCGUGGACAGAGAGGGAGUGGGUCACGUGGACAGAGGGUGCCAGUGGGGAGAGAAAGGGCCAUGUGGAUUGGGGGGGGGCAGCGGACAGAGAGGGAGGGCCCCGGGGAGACAGGACCCACCUGAUAGCCACUCUGAGGCCCAGGCGCCAAAGUGAAGCCGGCUGGAUCCCAGCCCCCGCUGAGCCGUCCUAGCCGCCACCACCGCCGUGUGGGACACAGACGAGCUGUCCUGGCAGAAUUCCUGACCCACGGAGUCCCGAGCGGUGAAAGGUCACGGACACAGGUGCGAUCUGCCCUGCAGUGGGGGUUGGGGCGCUGCCCUCCGCAAUUCUGCUCUCUCUGACCAUGAUCGGUGACUCUCCUGCUUCAUUUAAUCGGUAUGGAACCGUGAUGCUUACUUCUGUUGGGUCACGAUCCACAGCACCUGUGCUGACUGUCCCUGGAGGCCGCUGCUUGGCCCCGUGGCUCUUCGGCCCGUCACAUCACUCUCCCGUCAGUUUCCAGCACUGCCUCCCCCCGGCACCGCGGGUUCUUCAGACGGUGGUGCCGGUCUCUUCUGCCAGUCCUAAGACCAGCCGCUUCUCCAAGGUGCCCUGGUUCCUUUUGUCGGACGCCGGUCUCAGAAACGAGGGUCUGGGUGCCGGUGAGCCUGUGGCUUCCCGGACGACAGAGCUAGAAGAUGCUGGUGCGCGUGCUCUCCCGCGCUGGUGUGCGCCGGCAUCUACACCAUCCUGAACACAAGCUGCUGCUGGUGUCCCCAGCUGCCACCCGUGACCACACAGGUCAUUCUAGCUGCCUCUCCUUGCUUCACUCCGAGUAGUGAGACACGCGGCCGCCCACCUGCGGAGCUGGUUGAUGCUGGCGCACGCCGGAGUCGAUAGACCAGAGCCUGCGGCCCGCGAGCCAGCGAGGAGGCCGCGCACAAUUCCGCGUCCUUGCAAACUGUUCUCAUCCCCGAAGCGACCUGGGUCAGCAUUUCGCCACCCUCUACACAAGUUCAUUUCUUCGAAUUCUGAUUCACUCCGAUUCUCCCAACUUCCUAAACUAGCUUUUUUACAACUCUGUGUGCAUUGAGGCUCCCACCGAGCUGUGCUCUGCCUUGAAUCUUGGUAAGCGCACGGGGCCACCCACCCACCAGGACGAUCCGGUACAGAACGGCUUCCGUGCUCACGCCUCACCCCAGCUUGUCGUUGUACAGCCAGUUCCUUUCGAGGUGGUUUGUUCUGGAGCAAAGGCUACAGGAAAUAGUGGGUAAUUUUUAGAGAUACUGAAAUUCCCAAAGACAGACGACAGAGCUAGUGCUCACUAUAUAAAAACGUUGGUUUUUU